rnacentral:lncRNA from 1 species
UUGGAUUCUAUUUAUGUAAUUGGGCUUGUAUUGGCCAAAUCCCGUUCUAGGUAGGGUUUUGUUUUGACUAUUUAAACCUAAUUUGCCAUGUAAUUUCAUUAGUUUUAGAUGAAUAUGGAUUAUUGAGGUUUGUUGUGGCGUCUCUUUUCUCUUCCUUCCCCUUCCCCCUAAAUUUCUACUUCUACUCCGGUUUCUCUCCCUUUCUUGCUAUCAUCUUCUUUAUCUUGCAUCAAUUAGUUNCUCCCUCCUUUGCCAUGGUGGGUGAAGCUUCCAUCUGCCUCCUCCGCUACAGUGGGUGGAGCUUGAAGAACAAGUAAGACUUUUAUUAAUGCCAAGGAAAUGGGCUAGGGGCUAAGCUCUGGACAAUUCUCUCAUAUUUCUCUCUUUCAUUUCUUGUUAAACUAUAAAAUAAUGUUUCACACACGCACACGAUCAAAGUAUAGAAGCAACGUUCCAUUCUCAAAAAGGAGGGGUUUUUUUCCUUCUAUUUGUUGUACACCACUUAGUGCAAUUCUUGAUCAAGAUUGUCAUCUGGGAUUCUGGGUGGGUAGCGUCCUUUUGGAGAGAGAAAAAAGCUAAAGAAAAUAGGUCUUUCUUAUUUUGCCUUGGAGUUUAAGAGAAAUCUCCUCUCAGAUCUAUUAUGGGUUCUUCUUUUUAUUGAAAUUCAUGAUCUUAUUUGUUGAAACAUUGUCGUUUCUUUAAGAUUUCUUGUCGUGUUAUUAAUUAUUCAGUAAGCGAUCUAUUUGGCAUGAGAGAUACUUCCAUGGAGAGAUACAAGUUUUUCUCAUUUGGCGUUCUUGUUUGUCAGAAAGAUUUGUUAAGCUUCAAUUUUAGUUUCUCUAUGAAUGGAUCACUCCGUACCUUGUUCUUUAGAGAAACCUUCAGUUCAAUCUACAGUUGUGAGAGAUUGUGGUGUAAAGAAUUGAAAAGGUUAAUUACGCCAUUUCAUUUAAGUCUAUUUUCGUCAAUACGAAAAUUGUGGUGUAGAUAAAAUAAUUUUUGUAGUGGUAAUAUAAUUACCCAUUCACAAAUUAGGGAUUAAUUAUUUAAUUAACAUUUAUUAAACCCACAUCUCGCCAUUUCUCUCUCCUUAUCACAAAAAUCACAACUCACCAUUUUUCCCUCCAUCACAGAAAUAACUUCAAAAAUACCUGGCUCCGACAACAAAAACGAGAGGAAAAUUGACUCCGGUGGCCGCGUUUGUUAUNN